ACAUUGUGACAUCAAUGUCCAAGUUGUUUGUGUUAAUGGGUGUUGUUUGGCGCUGUUGGUUCCCCCCUUUGAUUUUUAGCAAAUUAUAACAUAAUGUGAUCACCCAUGUAAACAUUUACAUUGCCCUGUAACUGUUGUCGUUUUCAGAAUUUAUUUUGCAAACAUGGAUGAUGUAAACAUUCACGUUAGUGUUGAUUACUGGGUAAACUUACAGUAGUAUACACUGACGUGAACAUUCACAUCCGUGUACAAUGAUGUGAAUGUUUAAAUUACUGUCAAUGUUGGUUGUUGAAUGUUGUUUGAUGCUUCUGGUUUCAUCCUCUGUGUUUCAGCCAAUUAUAUGUUCUUAUUAUUUGAACACACAGGUCUUUCCCAUAAAGUUGAUGGCAAACGAAAGCGAGGGGAAUCCCGUGCCAAAACCAAGCCUGAUCAAACAUCUAUUCCUGAAGAAGUGAACAUGAAAAAAGUUAACUACCGAUCAAAUAUAACUUGAUUGGUCAAACUGUUAAAGGAUACAAAAUUUACAAGUGGCCAAUUGAAGUGCCUUAGAAAAACACCGUUCUGGCCAUUAUUUGAUUGCUUGAUCAGUAAUGAAAUUGACCUCAACCACUGCAUGAAAUAUGAUGAUGUCAUUAAAAUCAUGCAAGAGUACCCCCCCACAAGAGGAAUAAACUGAUUGAUGUACACAUUAAGGAGUGUCAAGGCCAGAGAUUCUUAAUCUUUCCAAUACACGACAACUUCCACUGGACAAUUGUUGUGUACGACGUGAAAGAGAAUGUAUGGAGGCAUUAUAACUCACUACGCCCAAGAGAAGGCAUACAUGACCCACAUAUUGACAAAGCACAAAUACUUAGGGACUACAUCACAGCUUUGGUGCACAACAUUGGACCAUAAUCACCAUUAUGGACCAAUUUAUCAAGCCAAAAUACUUCGAAAACAAUCAUAUCAGUGGACAUCUGUCCUCAGCAAGCAUCAAAUUCGGUGGAUUGUGGGCCUGCAGUUUGUUACAUCAUGAGGGCACAUGUAUAUCGUGAAGACAUUGUUGCUAGCCUAGAUCGCUUUGAAUGGUGUCAAAUAAGAGACUCAUUAGUACACAUUUUUCUGAACCACAGAAAGACAGUGCAAUGUGAAAACCUAUAGGCGGGGAGUGUCCACCUAUCACUGUUACCCAAAUCUGUUAUCCACAUUUAAGACAAUUUAGUGUCAAUAGAUUUUUCAUAUUGGAGUAGACUAGCUUAAUUGUAAAUCAAGUCUAUAUCACUGCUUGUACUGAUAUUUUUCAGUUAAUAUAUGUAUAUGCAUUUU